AGAUUGAACGCUGGCGGCAGGCCUAACACAUGCAAGUCGAGCGGCAGCACGGGUACUUGUACCUGGUGGCGAGCGGCGGACGGGUGAGUAAUGCCUAGGAAUCUGCCUGAUAGGUGGGGGAUAACGGUUCGGAAACGGACGCUAAUACCGCAUACGUCCUACGGGAGAAAGUGGGGGAUCUUCGGACCUCACGCUAUCAGAUGAGCCUAGGUCGGAUUAGCUAGUUGGUAGGGUAAAGCCUACCAAGGCUACGAUCCGUAACUGGUCUAGAGAGGAUGAUCAGUCACACUGGAACUGAGACUACGGUCCAGACUCCGACGGGAGCAGCAGGUGGGAAUAGUUGGACAAGUGGGACGAAAGUCCUGACUCCAGCCAUGCCGCGUGU
rnacentral:rRNA from 1 species